rnacentral:rRNA from 1 species
AGAGUUUGAUCCUGGCUCAGAACGAACGCUGGCGGCGUGGAUAAGACAUGCAAGUCGGACGGGAACUUUCGUUGUAGCAAUACAGUGGAAGUUUCAGUGGCGAACGGGUGCGUAACACGUGGGCAAUCUGCCUUAAAGUGUGGGAUAGCUCGGCGAAAGCCGGAUUAAUACCGCAUGUGGCUACUGGAGACAUCUUCGGGACGCUAAAGGUGGCGCAAGCUACCGCUUUUUGAGGAGCCCGCGGCCUAUCAGCUUGUUGGUGAGGUAACGGCUCACCAAGGCGUUGACGGGUAGCUGGUCUGAGAGGACGACCAGCCACACUGGGACUGAGACACGGCCCAGACACCUACGGGUGGCAGCAGUCGAGAAUUUUUGACAAUGGGGGAAACCCUGAUCGAGCGACGCCGCGUGGAGGAUGAAGGUCUUCGGGUUGUAAACUCCUGUCAUUUGGGAACAAGGCGUGGGUAUUAACUGUACCCACGUUGAUAGUACCAGAAGAGGAAGAGACGGCUAACUCUGUGCCAGCAGCCGCGGUAAUACAGAGGUCUCAAGCGUUGUUCGGAUUCAUUGGGCGUAAAGGGUGUGUAGGUGGCGCGCUAAGUCGGGUGUGAAAUUUCGGAGCUUAACUCCGAAACUGCAUUCGAUACUGGCGUGCUUGAGGACUGGAGAGGAGACUGGAAUUUACGGUGUAGCAGUGAAAUGCGUAGAUAUCGUAAGGAAGACCAGUGGCGAAGGCGGGUCUCUGGACAGUUCCUGACACUGAGACACGAAGGCCAGGGGAGCAAACGGGAUUAGAUACCCUAGUAGUCC